AGCGAACGCUGGCGGCAGGCCUAACACAUGCAAGUCGAACGAACCCUUCGGGGUUAGUGGCGGACGGGUGAGUAACACGUGGGAACGUGCCUUUAGGUUCGGAAUAACUCAGGGAAACUUGUGCUAAUACCGGAUGUGCCCUUCGGGGGAAAGAUUUAUCGCCUUUAGAGCGGCCCGCGUCUGAUUAGCUAGUUGGUGAGGUAAUGGCUCACCAAGGCUACGAUCAGUAGCUGGUCUGAGAGGAUGACCAGCCACAUUGGGACUGAGACACGGCCCAAACUCCUACGGGAGGCAGCAGUGGGGAAUCUUGCGCAAUGGGCGAAAGCCUGACGCAGCCAUGCCGCGUGGAUGAUGGAGGUCUUAGGAUUGUAAAAUCCUUUCACCGGUGAAGAUAAUGACUGUAGCCGGAGAAGAAGCCCCGGCUAACUUCGUGCCAGCCGCCGCAGUAACAC
rnacentral:rRNA from 1 species